UUACGGCCAUAUCCCGCUAAAACACCGGUUCUCACCCGAUCACCGAAUUUAAGCAACGUCGAGACUGAUCAGUACCUAGAUGGGUGACUGCUUUGGAAAUACCAGGUGCUGUAAG